rnacentral:hammerhead_ribozyme from 1 species
AUCCAAUUGACGAGUCUCAAAUAGGACGAAACACGCGUCCUGGAU